CUUUUUUUUUUUCUUUUUUUUUUUUUUCUCCUUCUGAUUUGGUUUUUUUGGUGGAUUUUUUUUUUCCCGAGCAGAUUCUGCUGUAGCUCGCAUUGAGUGGAGGCUGAGGGUUAUCUUGGAACUUGACAAGCCUCGCUGUGCUCUGCGGGGAAUUGCAGCUUGUGCUUACUGCAGACCCAGAGUAGGUGAGCCAGGAAAGCCUGGCUUGAGCAACCACUUCAGAGGGCAGGACAGGGAGGAAAAGCAAACACUGUAGAGAGGUGGCCUCCCUGGUAAGGCUAGAGCAGGACCGUCCUGCGGACUCUGAGGGAGGGAGAAGGUAAGUGGCUGCUUGGCAGAGGCUGUCUGCGGGAGCGGCUUGUGCCGGGCAGGGUGCGCCCUGCCCGCAGCUCCUGCGGCUCAGCACCAGCCGCUCCGUGGGUUUGUACAACCUGUGCUGUGGUAUGUGCCGAGGCUCAGGGCUGUUUCCCUGCGAGGGAGCAGGGUGCUGCCGCGAAGGAGGCACCGCAACCCGCGCCUUUCGCAACAACUGCGCUCAUCGCUCCAUUCCUCGCUCCCCCCCUCGCUCCUCACCGGGUCAGCCUCUAUGUCGAGAACAAGCGACAAACCGUCCGCACAAAACAGAACACGUUCCCAUGGAGGGGGAGAAAACCAAACAAACCAACAACAAAACCAAAGCUCUUCCGCAGUGCCAGGCUGGCGUUGUAGCGCUGCGAGCCCUGUCGGGGGCUGCGGCGCUCAGAACCGGGGCCGCCCGAGCCGCCGCUCGGUCCCUGCCCGGCCGGGAGCGCCGGGCCCGCGCUGGAGCCAGCCCUGAGCACCCGGCCCGGGUCACGGCGGCUCCCAGUGACCGUCUGCUGGCAAAAUCGGAAGGAACGGUGACGUUGUUCUUAGCUGAACACCAUUAAAAUGCUCCUCUGGUAUCUCUCAAUAGAGGUGAAAAGCAUUUCAGCUUCCUGGAAAUGGCCGAAAGAGGCGACGUGUAGAUCAAAGUACGGCGCAGAGCUGGGCUCGUGUUUGCAGGGGUUUUUGAACUGUAGUGAAAACGUUUCUGCAGCUUGCAUCGUAAUGAGUUAAGUCAGCACGUGAAGCGACUAAAAAUGGCAUAUUUAAACAGCAUCGGGCUAUUAACUUUCCUGGGAUUUGAGAUUUAUGUUUAAAUAUAUAUUUGGCUGUUAGCAAUACCAGCAUUUAAACUGUAACGUUGAUCUGUUCAACCCUGAAGCAAACCAGCUCUGCCUAACGCAGCUUUGAAGCGACACAGCCAGACCAUAAUACUGUGGGAGCUUAGACAGCUUUGUCUGUACUUGCAUCUCUGCAUAUUUUUCCAGGACUCUGAUCUUUGUCUGCGAUUAAUCAUUGUCCAGGACGGCUGUUCCCGGUGGUAGAAUCCAUGAAGUGCUCCAGCUGGGAGAGCUCCUAACGCGUGUGCCUGGCGCUGCGUACGUGCAAACCAGGGCCAGAAAUUGCUGGGGCAGCAGGCGCUGGACAGCGAGCCUGCCGUGCCGCCCCAGUGAGUUGUGUGAGUCCUCAGCACUUCUGGAAGUUGUUUUUAUAAACAACCUAUCUGCACGGUGGGUGUUUCCCGGUUCUGGGUAUGUGUACACACACCUCAGCAGUGUCAAUAUUGUGUCAGGAGGAGGUCUGGUUCCACACCAUCCCUUGCCACACCCCAGUUGCAUGGGAAGAAAGCCCAGUUUAGGAGCUGGAAAGGAGCCAGGGGCACACUGCAACACUUGCCUGCCCUGGUGUCCAUUAUGUAGCCAUGAAAUAAUGCAGAGCACAAAACAGGUGGUUGCAGGUCCCAUAAAAGAAAGAUGAGAGGUCUGGGGCAGGGUGGUUACAAAGUACAUUUUGAGACCUUGCUCUUAGAUAUUUUUUUUUUAGACAUGAUGCCUCACUACAUACUCUGUAUCCAGCUGUUCAUUCAAGACCUAAAUACAUUAGGGACUUCUUCCCCCCUGCCAAAUUUGAGAUUAGAGGAAGGAGGGGGGGAAAUUACAUAGAACAACGCAGUCGCAUUAGACAGCUUUAUUUUUAGGAAACCAGGCUAAGAAUAUCAAAGGAAUAUUGAGUAGGAAUAUGGACAGGGUAUUUGCCUGUUCAGAUUUUCUUGCCAUGAAAUUUUUCAUUCCUUCCUAAGAACAGCAGAUGAUCUGUCUAGGGAAUUGUCAGCCAAAAUAAGCAACCUGCUGACAGAUUUCACCUGUGUCCCAGCAUGCUCUGAGGAUGCAUGGGAUGUGAGCCUUGAACAAUGACAGGGAAAAUCACUAGGCUGUGUUGUUCGGCUGCCGGGGUGCAGAGAUGCAUGGUGACACCCAACAGUGGAACAAACAUUUACUGUGUUUAAAAUCCAGACAAAUUUUUAUGGCUAUGUUGGCCAUUUGCCAUAGCUGGGGGGUGGGGGUGGUGUAACCUUUUAAAUUGUACGUGAUCAUAUUAUUUCUGCAAGUAUUAUGACAAAGCCACCUCUGUAAGGUAGGGAGUGAGUGCUUUCAGAGAUCUAAUCUUUCUUGAGCUAUAAAGGAAUAAAGAAGCUGUUUCAACACCUGA